rnacentral:rRNA from 1 species
AUUGAACGCUGGCGGCAGGCCUAACACAUGCAAGUCGAGCGGAUGACGGGAGCUUGCUCCUUGAUUCAGCGGCGGACGGGUGAGUAAUGCCUAGGAAUCUGCCUGGUAGUGGGGGACAACGUUUCGAAAGGAACGCUAAUACCGCAUACGUCCUACGGGAGAAAGCAGGGGACCUUCGGGCCUUGCGCUAUCAGAUGAGCCUAGGUCGGAUUAGCUAGUAGGUGAGGUAAUGGCUCACCUAGGCGACGAUCCGUAACUGGUCUGAGAGGAUGAUAAGUCACACUGGAACUGAGGCACGGUCCAGACUCCUACGGGAGGCAGCAGUGGGGAAUAUUGGACAAUGGGCGAAAGCCUGAUCCAGCCAUGCCGCGUGUGUGAAGAAGGUCUUCGGAUUGUAAAGCACUUUAAGUUGGGAGGAAGGGCAGUAAGCUAAUACCUUGCUGUUUUGACGUUACCGACAGAAUAAGCACCGGCUAACUCUGUGCCAGCAGCCGCCGUAAGAC